AAGAAUUUCUGUAGGCUACUAACUGACUUGCCAACCCAUCUACAUUAAUUAAUCAUAAUGAUAACAGGAGAUAAGACAAAGGAAAAUCAACACCCGAAUUUCUAAAUCUGAAGAAGUGAUAAAGAAGAUGACAGAUGAUAAUGAGAGGGGACCACAAUGCUGCUUGGUUCUAAGUAUAAAGCCAUCUCUGUUAAACACACAAACAAACAAACCCACUCUGAAAUCACAAGGAAGGGACUGCUUAGCAAGUGGAGAAGAUGAUUGCAGUAGUAAGAGACUGGGGGAAUCCAGAACUUCCACCCACUAAAGAGUAUUUGAAUGUUUAUCAUAUCAUCAGUGUCGCCUAGGCGGUUGCCUACAGUUAUCUAGAGACCUACAUCACAUUUUAUUUUAAUAAAGUAAAUCAAAG
rnacentral:lncRNA from 1 species